rnacentral:sRNA from 1 species
UAUCUCUCUGUACAGGGAAGGAUGAGAAGCUUCGAUUAAGGUUCGACUCGAGCGGAAGCGAGAGAACGUUGCCAACGGCAACGGCCCGAAGGGGGAGG